CCUACGGGAGGCAGCAGUGAGGAAUAUUGGUCAAUGGCCGUAAGGCUGAACCAGCCAAGUAGCGUGAGGGAAGACUGCCCUAUGGGUUGUAAACCUCUUUUAUGCGGGGAUAAAGGUUUCCACGUGUGGAUGUUUGCAGGUACCGCAUGAAUAAGGACCGGCUAAUUCCGUGCCAGCAGCCGCGGUAAUACGGAAGGUCCGGGCGUUAUCCGGAUUUAUUGGGGUUAAAGGGAGCGUAGGCCGGUCUUUAAGCGUGCCGUGAAAUUUUGUGGCUCAACCAUGCCAGUGCGGCGCGUACUGGCGAGCUUGAGUGCGCGAAAGGCAGGCGGAAUUCGUGGUGUAGCGGUGAAAUGCUUAGAUAGGACGAAGAACCCCGGUGGCGAAGGCAGCCUGCCGCAGCGAUACUGACGCUGAGGCGCGAAAGCGCGGGUAUCGAACAGGAUUAGAUACCCGGGUAGUC
rnacentral:rRNA from 1 species